GUCCCAUGCUACGGUGGUGGUGGAGGGCCAGAAAUGAUGACACGUAACAGAAAUGGGUACAGAGGACUUGAAAUGAGGCGUAGCCUAAGUAUGUGCUCAUGAAAUGUGGACAGAUGGCCACUCAUGCCAAAAUCUGGACAAAUGUCCAAAAAGGAGGACACACUCUCUAUCCAGACAGAGGGCUCAAAAACUGGACUGUCCGGACGAAAUCCGAACGGAUGGCCACCCUAGUUGUUUUGUGGGGUCAGAUGAGAGUUUGGGACUGUUUCAGUUCAGUGUUGUUGUUGUCCUCAUGUCUUUUUGCUUUCCAGUUUGUAAAAUACCUCAAAUUAAAACUUAAAAUGUAAAGGUUUGUGUAAAAACACAUACAGAACCACAAUCAUUCAAUGUCCUGUCUAAUUGCUGCUCCCAGGCCUCUUGAGUGCAGCUCCAUAGAAAACCGCACGGUGAGACACACAGACACAGCUUUCAUUGUGGUGCUGCCCACAGGUUUACACGUGUUAUCAUCUAUAGUCAAAGAGAAUGCCAUUAUAGGAACUAUUCAUUUAUUAUUAUUUGAAUAGAUUGGCAUUAAGACAUUGCUUUUACACAGACCAUGUCAGUGCUGGGUCCUUAGAAUCAUCCUACCCCCCCCCCCCCCCCCCCCCCAUGGCGGCCCUGCCCUUAGGUAUCAGAGUAAGAUAUGGAUAGUAGGGGGUUAAUAAGGGAAGUGAAGGGUGCUAUUGGGUUUGUUGUUUAUGUAACUGGGUAGGUAGAUUGAUUCAAAAUGCUAUGUUUGUGUUUAUCAUCUUUUUCAGAUUGUAUUAUGUUAUAUUUGGUUUCUUCAUCAUGUCCUUUUAAGAAAGAAUUUGGACAAUGCGGAAAUCUCCAGCCAAAGUGAGCACUUCUAGCAUCAUCCUCCUGCACUCUCAGAAAAGAAAACAAAGAAUUACCUUAAGAGUGUAGGACUUUCUUCUAUGGCGAAAAAGGUUCAGCUACAGUAUCUGGGUUUGUGCGGAAUUCUGCUGCAUCUUACAUGUAGAGAUAAAGUGGUUUCCAUCAACACACCUCUGGGGGAGAAUGUCACGCUGCACUGUAACACAUCUGGAAUGGAUAUAACAAAAAUCAAAUGGGCAAAGGAUGGGAUCCAGGUGUUUGUAUAUAGCCCAGUAUUGGAAGACAAAAAAGACAAAAUCAAAACAAGCUUCACUUCAGAAAGGAUGGGUGUUGAUCCUUCUACUACGGUGCUGCAUAUAUCCGACGUACUGGUCUCUGAUGAGGGAAUAUACACAUGUGAAGUAUUAGGUUCUCAAGCCCAAAAGACAGAAACAUGGAACUUGACUGUUACUUCAGACUCACCAGAUCCAUCCCAAUUGAUCUACAUCAGCACUGCUGCCAUAUCAGGGACAAUCCUCAUCAUCAUCUGUAGCAUAUUAUGUAUUUACAGCUCUAAAUUUUCUAACCUGUACAAGCCUGCCAUACGUGAAGCUGAAGAUGUCUUGACGGAAGUGUUUUUCUCAGCUACGCAACAAGGCACCAUUAGAAGUGAAGCUCCCCUGGAUGUAUGAUGAAUGAAUUAUUCGAUUUCAAAUAAAAAUAUGUCUUGUUACA